rnacentral:misc_RNA from 1 species
UCAAACUUGGUCAUUUAGAGGAAGUAAAAGUCGUAACAAGGUUUCCGUAGGUGAACCUGCGGAAGGAUCAUUACUGAAUAAAGUGUGGCAGGGGGUUGUCGCUGGCAUCCUUGUAAUGCAUGUGCACACCCCUGCCACUCUGUCAUUCACCCUCUCCACCUGUGCAUUAUCUUGUAGGCCAGAUCGCCAUUUUUGUGCUGGCCCUGUUUUAUGGGACUUGCUGUUGCAGCUCUACCUUGUGACAGCUCCUCUUGUAUUUUGGCCCAUCUGGUCUAUGCACCUUUACCCAAACCCCUCUUGUGUUUUUGUAUGUAUGGCAUUCACGGGCUUUUUGUCCCGUCACAUUUAGCUUUGUUAAAGCAUAUGUGUAUACACAACUUUCAACAACGGAUCUCUUGGCUCUCGCAUCGAUGAAGAACGCAGC